AUGGAAUCCGGGGGAGGAUCCCCCAUUUUCUCACCUUUUAUUCUGCAAAACCCCCGCUCCGAAUUCACCCCAAACCCAACAAAAAAACCGAAGAAAUCACCCCAAAAAAACCCCCAAAAAAUCCAAAUCUCAGCUCCAGGAAGGGUCGUAACCCGUCCAGUCCGAGGGAGGCGCCAGGAAGACGCGGCGGCCCCGGCACACGACGCUGACGAUGCCGCGGUAGCCGGCGCGGGGGACGCCGGAUUUGAGGUCGUCCAUCAAGCCCAAAGCUUUGGCCAAGGCCUUGAAGGAAUCGCGGCCGCGGUACUGGAGCCGCACCGGCCCCGCGUCGGCCGCCGCGUCCUUCUGCAGCUCCUCCAGCCUCACCUCGGGCGCGGAAUAAACCUGCUGCAGGAAGAAACGUUCGUACUCGUCCUUGUUGAGGUAAGAAAGGUCCAGUUGGGUGAAAGGCACGAAGCGGUCGUUGAGUUUGAUGAACUUCAGGUACUGGUCGAAGAACUGGCCGUGGCUCACGCCCUUGCGGCCGAAGGUCAUGGUCCUGGACACCUCGGGCCGCACGCAGGAGCGGCCGCGCCGCUGCUCCGGCUGCCUCAUCCAAUCGUCCCAGAACGCCGGCGGCCAUUUGGGUUCCAGCUCAUCCCACAGCUCGGCCAGCAACAACCAGCCCAAACCGGGGAAGAAAUCGGUGCGGUACAGGAGCUCGGCGCGGCCGGGAUCCACCAGCCCCUCCUUGCCGUUGUCGUUCCACGCCGAGGCGCACCACAGGCUGGGAUCCCUCUGCAGCAGCGGCAGAACCGCCUGGAAAUACUCGAAGAAAUCCGGCGCCACCUCCAAGUCGUCCUCCACCACGAUGGCGGCGCGGGUAGCGGAAGGUGCGGAACACCUGGCCCAGCGCCCAGCGGUAAUGCCGCGAGAUUUUGUAAUAGCCCUGGAACUUGCGGUGCUCCGGCGGCACCGCCACGUCGCUCAGGUCCGGCUGGCGGAUGUGCGCCACGGCGGCGCCGUAGGACGCGAUCACCGCGGCCGUCUCGGCGUGGCCGCAGUCCUGCGAGACGAUCACCGGGAAGCGCCGCGCGCUGGGGCGGUAGCGCAGGAUUUUAUCCAGGCAGCGCCGCACCGAGCUGCGGUCGCAGGCCAGCACCAGCACCGGGAUCACCGGCGGCUCCUCGGCGGCCUCGUGCCGCGGCGGCCGCGGCGUCCGGCGGCGCCGGGCUUGGCCCGAGCGCUGCAGCUGCAGGAGGAGCUCGCGCUGCAGCCGCAGCUCGGCCUCGGCGUCCUGCGCCAGCCGCAGCAGCUGCGCCGGCAGCACCGGCGACUCCGGCGCGGGUUUGGCGCCGGGGCGGCCCCAGAGGAAGAGGAGGAGGAGCCCGUUCCAGGCGAGGAAGAGCGCGGCUCCCCCCAGAGCCAGGCGGGUUUGCUUCAGCAUCCUUCACAUGGGGCUGGGGGGAAACGGGGAAAAAACGGGAAAUUUGGUUAAAAAUUGGGAUUUUGGGGUAA
rnacentral:lncRNA from 1 species